GAUGAACGCUGGCGGCGUGCCUAAUACAUGCAAGUCGAGCGACCAGACGAGGAGCUUGCUCUCCUGACGUUAGCGGCGGACGGGUGAGUAACACGUGGAUAACCUACCUAUAAGACUGGGAUAACUUCGUGAAACCGGAGCUAAUACCGGAUAAUAUAUUGAACCGCAUGGUUCAAUAGUGAAAGACGGUUUUGCUGUCACUUAUAGAUGGAUCCGCGCCGCAUUAGCUAGUUGGUAAGGUAACGGCUUACCAAGGCAACGAUGCGUAGCCGACCUGAGAGGGUGAUCGGCCACACUGGAACUGAGACACGGUCCAGACUCCUACGGGAGGCAGCAGUAGGGAAUCUUCCGCAAUGGGCGAAAGCCUGACGGAGCAACGCCGCGUGAGUGAUGAAGGUCUUCGGAUCGUAAAACUCUGUUAUUAGGGAAGAACAAAUGUGUAAGUAACUAUGCACGUCUUGACGGUACCUAAUCAGAAAGCCACGGCUAACUACGUG
rnacentral:rRNA from 1 species